GCAAUUAGGGUGUGAUCCAAAGCCCAUUAAAGUCAUUGGGAAUCAGUCCACUGACUUAAACAGGCUUUGGAUCAAGCCCAUAUUGC
rnacentral:pre_miRNA from 7 species